GAAGAGUGAAAUAGUCCCUGAAACCAUGCGCCUACAAGCGGUCGGAGCAGCUUCGUGCUGUGACGGCGUGCCUUUUGCAUAAUGAACCUACGAGUUACUUUUACUGGCAAGGUUAAGGAUCUUGAGAUCUGCAGCCGAAGCGAAAGCGAGUCUUAAUAGGGCGGAUAGUCGGUAGUGGUAGACGCGAAACCAAGUGAUCUACCCUUGAUCAGGUUGAAGAUUAGGUAACACUAGUUGGAGGACCGAACCAGUAAGCGUUGCAAAGCUUUUGGAUGAAUUGAGGGUAGGGGUGAAAGGCUAAUCAAACUUGGAGAUAGCUCGUACUCCCCGAAAUGCAUUUAGGUGCAGCCUUGUUUUAACUACUAUUGUGAGGUAGAGCUACUGAUAAGAUGCGAGGGCUUCGCCGCCUAUCAAAUCUUGACAAACUCCGAAUACGCAAUAGUUUAUAACAGGAGUGAGGGCACGGGUGCUAAGGUCCGUGUCCGAGAGGAGAACAACCCAGACCAUCAGCUAAGGUCCCUAAAUAAUUGCUAAGUUGCAUUAACGAAGUCAGAUUGCAAAGACAGCUAGGAUGUUGGCUUGGAAGCAGCCAUUCAUUUAAAGAGUGCGUAACAGCUCACUAGUCGAGGAGUUUGGCAUGGAUAAUAAUCGGGCAUAAGCAGUUUACCGAAGCUAUGGAAUAGUCAAUUUUGAUUGAUUAUUGGUAGGGGAGCAUUCCAUACCCAGCGUUGAAGGCGUAGCGUGAGCUAUUCUGGAGCGGAUGGAAAAGAAAAUGUAGGUAUGAGUAACGACAAAGGGGGUGAUGAAACCCCCUCGCCGAAAGACUAAGGUUUCCUGAUCAACGUUAAUCGGAUCAGGGUUAGUCGGGUCCUAAGGUCCAGCCUAAUGGCGAUGACCGAUGGCUGAAAUGGUUAAUAUUCCAUUACUGCCUUAACAAGUGAUGUGGUGACGGAGAUGUGAUAGUGCCGCGUACUGACGGAAUAGUACGUUAAAGAGUGUAGGUAUUGAGAGUAGUAGGCAAAUCCGCUACUUGAGCUGAACCUCGAUAGUAUGGAGAGCCCUUUUGGGCGAUCCAAUAGUGCAUGUAAUCAGGCUUCCAAGAAAAACCGCUAAACUUAUUGUUAAGGUACCCGUACCGCAAACGGACACACGUAGUCGGGUUGAAUAUACUAAGGCGCUUGAGUGAUUCACGGUUAAGGAACUAGGCAAAUUAACCCUGUAACUUCGGGAAAAAGGGUCCCUACUUCUGGUAGGGCGCAGAGAAUAGGCCCAUGCAACUGUUUAUCAAAAACACAGGGCUGUGCAAAUUUUAACAAUGAUGUAUACAGCCUGACACCUGCCCGGUGCUGGAAGGUUAAGAGGAGGGGUUAUCCGUAAGGAGAAGCCUCAAAUUGAAGCCCCAGUAAACGGCGGCCGUAACUAUAACGGUCCUAAGGUAGCGAAAUUCCUUGUCGGGUAAGUUCCGACCUGCACGAAUGGUGUAAUGAUGUGGGCACUGUCUCAACCGUGAGCUCAGUGAAAUUGAAGUAUCGGUGAAGAUGCCGAUUACCCGCGAUGGGACGAAAAGACCCCGUGAACCUUUACUAUAGCUUAACAUUGAAUUUGGGUAACCUAUGUGUAGGAUAG
rnacentral:rRNA from 1 species